UAGCGCUUCCUUUCUUUCUUCAUGCAAUUAUAGGCCAUGUCUAACUUUUUUUUUUGGAGUUCUAAGUGUAUAUUUCUCCUUAAAAUUGCAGGGCUAAGGAUUAUACUGCAGUAGAACAACCUGUGGAAGCAUUCACGAAUAUUACAUACAGCCACCAGGUGGAUGAUCUCUCAAGGAUGUAUAGGCUAUUUUGUAGAAUAACUAGAGGCUUAGAUCCCGUUUCUCAAAUAUUUAAGCAGCAUGUUCCUACUGAAGGAACCACCCUGGUUAAACAAGCAGAAGAUGCAGCA